UACGUAGGAGGCAAGCGUUGUCCGGAAUUACUGGGCGUAAAGAGCUUGUAGGCGGUUUGUCGCGUCUGCCGUGAAAAUCCGGGGCUCAACCCCGGACUUGCGGUGGGUACGGGCAGACUAGAGUGUGGUAGGGGAGACUGGAAUUCCUGGUGUAGCGGUGAAAUGCGCAGAUAUCAGGAGGAACACCCGUGGCGAAAGCGGCUCUCUGGGACGGUACUGACGCUGAGACGCGAAAGCGUGGGGAGCAAACAGG
rnacentral:rRNA from 1 species